GAUGAACGCUGGCGGCGCGCCUAACACAUGCAAGUCGAACGGCACCCCUCCUCGGAGGGAAGCGAGUGGCGAACGGCUGAGUAACACGUGGAGAACCUGCCCCCUCCCCCGGGAUAGCCGCCCGAAAGGACGGGUAAUACCGGAUACCCCGGGGUGCCGCAUGGCACCCCGGCUAAAGCCCCGACGGGAGGGGAUGGCUCCGCGGCCCAUCAGGUAGACGGCGGGGUGACGGCCCACCGUGCCGACAACGGGUAGCCGGGUUGCGAGACCGACCGGCCCGAUUGGGACUGAGGCACGGCCCGGACUCCUACGGGAGGCAGCAGUGGGGAAUCUUGCGCAAUGGGGGGAACCCUGACGCAGCGACGCCGCGUGCGGGACGGAGGCCUUCGGGUCGUAAACCGCUUUCAGCAGGGAAGAGUCAAGACUGUACCUGCAGAAGAAGCCCCGGCUAACUACGUG
rnacentral:rRNA from 1 species